rnacentral:rRNA from 1 species
AGCGAACGCUGGCGGCAGGCUUAACACAUGCAAGUCGAGCGGGCAUCUUCGGAUGUCAGCGGCAGACGGGUGAGUAACACGUGGGAACGUACCCUUCGGUUCGGAACAACUCUGGGAAACUGGAGCUAAUACCGGAUACGCCCUUAUGGGGAAAGGUUUACUGCCGAAGGAUCGGCCCGCGUCUGAUUAGCUAGUUGGUGGGGUAACGGCCUACCAAGGCGACGAUCAGUAGCUGGUCUGAGAGGAUGAUCAGCCACACUGGGACUGAGACACGGCCCAGACUCCUACGGGAGGCAGCAGUGGGGAAUAUUGGAUAAUGGGCGCAAGCCUGAUCCAGCCAUGCCGCGUGAGUGAUGAAGGCCUUAGGGUUGUAAAGCUCUUUUGUCCGGGACGAUAAUGACGGUACCGGAAGAAUAAGCCCCGGCUAACUUCGU